GCACAGGUAAGGCAGGGCUGAUGGGUUGUU
rnacentral:piRNA from 1 species